CAAGACCUGAGCUGAGAUCGAAAGUCAGGUGCUUACCAACUGAACCACCCAGGUGCCUUAGUGUUUGAGAAGGUUCGCUGACAAAUGAUUUGGAGUAACCCUGACCCUGCUUAACGUGAGAUGUUCCUGUCAGUUCCUGACCGGCAUCAUGGUUUGCUCGUCUCUCUACCUCCAGGUGUGGAGUAGUUGAUGUCAAAUACUUCUUCACAAGUUUCCUGUUUCCAUCAGAACCAACACAUCCUGUGGAGACUUCCGGCUCAUGGAUGAAGCGUGUGCACCAGGAGAGUCAAAUCGCAUCGAAUGCUUCCCAAAGGAGUUCUCUUUUCCCCCUUUUCACUGGCUUCCUUCUUUUCUCUUAUCUCUGCUCCAGUCCCCUCUUGCUCCAAAUCCUCAGACUUCCUCUGUAGAUUCCAAAGGAUGAUUUCAGAGGCCGGGAGCUCGGGGGCCUGUGUUUGAGCAGGACCCUCAUGGGCCUCCUUCGGCUCCGGGUAAAGCCCUGACGUUGGCCCAGUCACACGAGCAGUAUAAAAUCUGUAGGUAAUUAAAGAGCUCUCAACUCUCCUUUCUGCCCUACAAAUACAUCCCCCGGGAGAGCCAUCGCCGUUUCAUAACCCUCAUGCACCGGGGUCAGGGCAAUAAAGGCUGCUGGAACUCCAAAGGUUAGAUGAGAGGAGGUAGCUAUUCCUCUUUGGUACCGCAGUAUGCAUUAGCCUCUCUGCUCCCCCAGGCGUCCUACAGGCAGGAGCCCCCAGACAUGUGACUUUUAUAGGAGCUAAGAAACCUGGAGAGUGGGGGGUAGAGCGUUAUGUGCCACGGUAGGGAGCUGACGUGGGCUUUCCCUAUCUGAAAAUGGAGUCAGCCCA